AAGAUUAAGCCAUGCAUGUCUAAGUAUAAGCAAUUUAUACAGUGAAACUGCGAAUGGCUCAUUAAAUCAGUUAUCGUUUAUUUGAUAGUUCCUUUACUACAUGGUAUAACUGUGGUAAUUCUAGAGCUAAUACAUGCUUAAAAUCUCGACCCUUUGGAAGAGAUGUAUUUAUUAGAUAAAGAACCAACCCGGGCAACCGGUUCUUUGGUGAUUCAUGAUAACUUUUCGAAUCGCAU
rnacentral:rRNA from 1 species